AAACAAAUUGUUUGUAAUAUAAUGAUUUUCUUGAACAGGAAACUGCUCUUCUAUUGGUCAGAUAUUUUGACCAAUCAGGAGCAACCGCCAUUUUAGGUGGUCGAAGUAGAGGGGAAAAUAGAGGGAGAGCAGAGUCCUUCUCAAGAGAUUCAUUCUGUGUUGUGCUUUGGUACAGUGAAGUGAUCCUAAUAAAAUUAGUGUGUGU